rnacentral:rRNA from 1 species
GAUGAACGCUAGCGGGAGGCUUAACACAUGCAAGUCGAGCGGGAUUAGCAGCAAUGCUAUGAGAGCGGCGCACGGGUGCGUAACGCGUAUGCAACCUGCCUUAUACAGGGGAAUAGCCCAUGGAAACGUGGAUUAAUGUCCCAUAGAAUCAAAGCAUCGCAUGGUGCUAUGAUUAAAGCUUAGGUGGUAUAAGAUGGGCAUGCGUCUGAUUAGGUAGUUGGUGAGGUAACGGCUCACCAAGCCGACGAUCAGUAGGGGUUCUGAGAGGAUUACCCCCCACACUGGUACUGAGACACGGACCAGACUCCUACGGGAGGCAGCAGUGAGGAAUAUUGGUCAAUGGCCGGAAGGCUGAACCAGCCAUCCCGCGUGCAGGAUGACGGCCCUAUGGGUUGUAAACUGCUUUUGUACCUGAAGAAACGUAGUUACGUGUAACUAUUUGCCGGUAAGGUAUGAAUAAGCAUCGGCUAACUCCGUGCCAGCCGCCGCGGUAA